GACGAACGCUGGCGGCGUGCUUAACGCAUGCAAGUCGAACGAAGAGCGAUGGAAGCCUGCUUCUAUCAAUCUUAGUGGCGAACGGGUGAGUAACGCGUAAUCAACCUGCCCUUCAGAGGGGGACAACAGUUGGAAACGACUGCUAAUACCGCAUACGAUCUAAUCUCGGCAUCGAGGAUAGAUGAAAGGUGGCCUCUACAUGUAAGCUAUCACUGAAGGAGGGGAUUGCGUCUGAUUAGCUAGUUGGAGGGGUAACGGCCCACCAAGGCGAUGAUCAGUAGCCGGUCUGAGAGGAUGAACGGCCACAUUGGGACUGAGACACGGCCCAGACUCCUACGGGAGGCAGCAGUGGGGAAUCUUCCGCAAUGGACGAAAGUCUGACGGAGCAACGCCGCGUGAGUGAUGACGGCCUUCGGGUUGUAAAGCUCUGUUAAUCGGGACGAAAGGCCUUCUUGCGAACAGUUAGAAGGAUUGACGGUACCGGAAUAGAAAGCCACGGCUAACUACGUG
rnacentral:rRNA from 1 species